rnacentral:rRNA from 1 species
UCAAAGGAAUUGACGGGGCCCCGCACAAGCAGCGGAGCAUGCGGCUUAAUUCGACGCAACGCGAAGAACCUUACCAAGGCUUGACAUAUAGGGAAAAGUGGCAGAGAUGUCAUGUCCGCAAGGGCUCUAUACAGGUGGUGCAUGGUUGUCGUCAGCUCGUGUCGUGAGAUGUUGGGUUAAGUCCCGCAACGAGCGCAACCCUCGUUCUGUGUUGCCAGCAUUUAGUUGAGGACUCACAGGAGACUGCCGGGGUUAACUCGGAGGAGGGUGGGGAUGACGUCAAAUCAUCAUGCCCCUUAUGUCUUGGGCUGCACGCAUGCUACAAUGGCCGGUACAGAGGGCUGCAAUACCGUAAGGUGGAGCGAAUCCCAAAAAGCCGGUCUCAGUUCGGAUUGAGGUCUGCAACUCGACCUCAUGAAGUUGGAGUUGCUAGUAAUCGUAGAUCAGCAACGCUACGGUGAAUACGUUCCCGGGGCUUGUACACACCGCCCGUCACGUCACGAAGUCGGUAACACCCAAAGUCAGUGGCCCAACCGCAAGGGG